AUCGCUUCUCGGCCUUUUGGCACAGAUCAGGUGUAGUAUCUGUUCUUAGCAGAUGAAUGUCUGAUACGUCCCGCAUCGGGGGACUACAUAUUAUAUGGAUUUUUCGAACAAGGAGUCGGA
rnacentral:snRNA from 8 species